GAUCGAGCCUAUCAUACAAAUGCGUUUGUCUAAGAUGAAGAGAUAUUCCCUGAUAACUUCCUGAGUUAUUUCUAAAUCAGUUCAAUCUAGUUUCAGUUCGAUUCUGUUUGGGUUUUGAAUCCGUUGUCUUCCUUCUUCCCGACAGUGUCAUAUAACGAGCUGCUUUUGCCUCAUCGCCACAGUGCUCACGCUUUCCAAUGUUUGCCUGAAAUGAAGAGUGUGCGCUUCGGCCCAGUGUGCCCAAAUCUGAGACAUGAAGUCAUCCUCUCCUCCUCCCCCGUCUCCUCGUUUCUCCAGCUGUUUGAUUUCGAUGAAUAUAUCUGGUCUACUUUCUGAAUUGUAAACUUACUAAUGAUGAACUGGAAUCUGAACAAAUGAUGGUCUUAAUGGUGUGGUGUCUUCAACCCAGUGGCUGAUAAGGUUACAAGCAUUUCUCCUGUGUGUAGCGAGUCCAUCAUUUAUCAGUUUCCCUACUUUGAUAUUAAACUCAGGUCAAAGUAAAAGCUACUCUAUACAGUUAUACACAAAUAUAUUUCUGUACUGUACGUGAGUUUAAAGUAAACUCCUCAUCCUCAUUUCUCUUUUCCACCAAAGUGAAAUCUACUGUAGCAUCUGGAGGUAUCCACAGCUGUAUUACUGCUAAAGGUUCUAUUUAACUUGAGCUUGAUUGCUUUUGGUUUCACAGUCCAACCAAAACUCCUCACGUUUUCUUAGACCCAGCAGGGUUUAACCAUUCCCCGAGUUGGAUGCGCCUCCAUCACCAUCUAAGCUUUCCCGAGAGAAAAUCCUUGUCUACAUUCACCCUGCGAUGCCAUCUUCCUCAUUUGGAUGAAUAAACCUUGUCUCCACAUCGUACCCUGUGCUUUUUCAAUUUCAAAAGUGUCUGUGUCAUCUUUGCCUGGCGUGCAGAUCUUUACCAUUACUGCUUCUUUCCGUUUCCCAGAUUUUAUUGUAAAUAAUAUUCUUUAGUCACAAAGUUGACUUCUCGUUAGAUAACAAACCUGAUCUUCGAGGUGACUCUGAUUUGAGAGGUCCAUUUAUUGAAUCAUCUACAUCUGCGUGUUCUAAUAACUCUCUAUUCUCUGACGUUUCUCUUCCUGUUUUCCCUUCUACAGUAAUAUUAUCUGAACUACGUAUUUUAACAGAUGUUUAGCCACCAGCUAUGCUUUUCUGUCAAGCUCCAAGUGAGCGGCUCGUGUUUCCCCAGUUCCGCACCUGGCCGGGGUCCUGGCCACUCCCACUCACCUGUUCCUCAUUCCGUGGCAAUCAGUGUGGCCUACCUUAAAAGCUUAUGAAUCCGAUUUAAACCAUCUCUGGAGUCUUUAAUU